AUUGUGAUGAUUGUGCACAUGCAUGCGUCUUAAUGGUACAACAAUUUAUGCUUCUUUGGGUAUAUAUCCAAUAAUGGGAUUGCUGGGUCAAAUGGUAAUUCUAAGUUCUUUGAGAAAUCGUCACACUGCUUCCCACAAUGGCCGAACUAAUUAACAUUCUUACCAGCAGGGUAUAAACAAGCAUUCCCUCUUCUC